GAGUGGCGAACGGGUGAGUAACACGUGGGUAACCUGCCCAUCAGAAGGGGAUAACACUUGGAAACAGGUGCUAAUACCGUAUAACACUAUUUUCCGCAUGGAAGAAAGUUGAAAGGCGCUUUUGCGUCACUGAUGGAUGGACCCGCGGUGCAUUAGCUAGUUGGUGAGGUAACGGCUCACCAAGGCCACGAUGCAUAGCCGACCUGAGAGGGUGAUCGGCCACACUGGGACUGAGACACGGCCCAGACUCCUACGGGAGGCAGCAGUAGGGAAUCUUCGGCAAUGGACGAAAGUCUGACCGAGCAACGCCGCGUGAGUGAAGAAGGUUUUCGGAUCGUAAAACUCUGUUGUUAGAGAAGAACAAGGAUGAGAGUAAAAUGUUCAUCCCUUGACGGUAUCUAACCAGAAAGCCACGGCUAACUACGCGCCAGCAGCCGCGGUAAUACGUAGGUGGCAAGCGUUGUCCGGAUUUAUUGGGCGUAAAGCGAGCGCAGGCGGUUUCUUAAGUCUGAUGUGAAAGCCCCCGGCUCAACCGGGGAGGGUCAUUGGAAACUGGGAGACUUGAGUGCAGAAGAGGAGAGUGGAAUUCCAUGUGUAGCGGUGAAAUGCGUAGAUAUAUGGAGGAACACCAGUGGCGAAGGCGGCUCUCUGGUCUGUAACUGACGCUGAGGCUCGAAAGCGUGGGGAGCGAACAGGAUUAGAUACCCUGGUAGUCCACGCCGUAAACGAUGAGUGCUAAGUGUUGGAGGGUUUCCGCCCUUCAGU
rnacentral:rRNA from 1 species